UGGAUCAGCCUGAACUAUGAGAAAAUAGGUUUCCACCCUGGUUCAACAGCCUCUGCUUAUCGCCCAGCUCAGCAUCUGCCUGGUCACCCCGUCUACGGACGAUGGCUGUGGUCCCCCCACUCUCCCGCCCAGCCCUCGCCCUCCCCGGGGGUCGCAGCGGAGCUCGGCAAUACCAGGUGUAGUCGUCCUCGUCCCGCCAGGCGGCCAAGCUCUCCAGGUCCAGCGGCUCCACCUCGUCCAGCAGCGUGGGGGGCGGCGAGGAGGGCGCGGCGGCGGCCCCGGCGGUGUCCCCGCGCCCCCGGGCUCCGGGCCGCCGCCGCAGCCGCCCGCGCCGAAGAAGCCCGCCGCAGGCUUGAAGUAGACGAAGGGAGCCUCGGGGGGCUGCGCCAGGCUGCAGAGCAGGGAGGGCGCCGGGCUGGGCAGGCAGUAGGUCCCCGGGAAAGCGGGGCUAGAGCCGCCGCUGCCGCCGCCGCCCCCGCAGCCAAGGCCAGCCCCAACCCCAGGCCCCCGAGGCGGCGGCGGCGGCGGAGGGCUCCGCAGGGCCAAGGGCUACAGGCCCCGGCGGGCGGCGGCGCGGCGGGCGGCGGCGGCGGCGACAGGAGCAGCAGGUGCGGGGCGGCGGACGCGGUGGCCGUCUGGCUACGCAGCUGCUCGUUUUGCUUCUCCAGCAUGCGCACCAGCUCCUUCAGCUUCUUCACCUCCAGCUCGGUGUUCACCACCUGCCCGGAGCCCGCUCCGGAGCCGCCCCCCGCCGAAGCGCAUUUCACCUGCUCCGCCAUCAUCUUGGGCCCAGAGAGCGCCUCGGACACCCGGGGAGGGGGUGGGGGCGUGCCGAAGCACCGGCUCCUCGCGCCGCAGGGAGAAGCUACGGCUUCUUCCCUACCGCCCCGGCCCGGACUGCCGACCACGCUAGGCGGAGGCCGAGCGGGCGAUUCGCAUCAGCACCCGGGCCCAGCCUCCCGCCGAAGCAGUCGCCGCCGAGCCGCUCUGCACAUGCUCAGAGCGUCCCUCCAGUCCCCUGGGCGCAGUGAAGGCUCCGGGUUUUAG
rnacentral:lncRNA from 1 species